rnacentral:rRNA from 1 species
GACGAACGCUGGCGGCGUGCUUAACACAUGCAAGUCGAACGGGAAGGUCCUGCCUAGGUGGGGAGCUCGAGUGGCGAACGGGUGAGUAACACGUGAGUAACCUGCAAUUGACUUUGGGAUAACUUAAGGCAACUGGGGGUAAUACCGGAUAGGAGCUCUUGCUGCAGGGUGGGGGUUGGAAAGAUUCGGCGGUUGGGGAUGGACUCGCGGCUUAUCAGCUUGUUGGGUGGGUAGUGGCUUACCAAGGCUUUGACGGGUGGCCGGCCUGAGUGGGUGACCUGCCACAUUGGGCUUGAGAUGCGGCCCAGCCUCCUACGGGAGGCAGCAGUGCGGAAUAUUGCACAAUGGGCGGAAGCCUGAUGCAGCAACGCCGCGUGCGGGAUGACGGCCUUCGGUUUGUAAUCCGCUUUCGCCUGUGACGAAGCGUGAGUGACGGUAAUGGGUAAAGAAGCACCGGCUAACUACGUG